rnacentral:misc_RNA from 1 species
GAAAUGCGAUAAGUAAUGUGAAUUGAAGAAUUCAGUGAAUCAUCGAAUCUUUGAACGCACAUUGCGCCCGCCAGUAUUCUGGCGGGCAUGCCUGUCCGAGCGUCAUUUCAACCAUCAAGCCCCCGGGCUUGUGUUGGGGACCUGCGGCUGCCCGCAGGCCCUGAAAACCAGUGGCGGGCUCGCUGUCACACCGAGCGUAGUAGCAAUCACCUCGCUCAGGGCGUGCUGCGGGUUCCGGCCGUUAAACAGCCUUACAAAACCCAAGGUUGACCUCGGAUCAGGUAGGAAGACCCGCUGAACUUAAGC